rnacentral:tRNA from 1 species
UGGGGUGUGGCUCAGUGGUGGAGCGCUUUCCCUGCAUGCAUGGGUUCUGGCUUUGAUCCCCAGCACUGCCA